GGGUAAAAGUAAGUGCUGUAAUUAGGCUGUUAGUGGUAAGGAGUGGGUGGAGGAGAGGUGAUCUAGAGUCUUAUGAGUAGGUCUUGGUCUUUAGUGAGCCUGCACCAUCAAAAUGUGAACUUUACACAUGCUUCUCAGUUGUUUGCCCCCCUUCAUUAGGAUGGCUAGAGUGGGAUGUCAUUGGGUAUGAACCUUCUUCCAUGCAGAAGGCUGGAGAGGGCAGGAGUUGGGUUUUCCCUUCCCGAGGUCAAUUAAGCUCUGAUUAACACCAGCUGGUUAGGCUCUAGCUAAAUAUUUCCACCUGAGGACAGACAUUUUUUAAGAAAAGCCGGGUGCUCUGAUGAAUUUCAAAAUGAUUCCUUUUCCUCUCCACCUGUCAGAAGCACAAGAGGAUCUUUCUCCAAUAUUCAUCGUGAGAACCUCAUCCAGCUCCUGGAGGGAACAAACACAGCAUGACGCUUUGGGACCUCCUCAAGAAACCUCCAACACAUGAAACAAAGCUUUGAUUUGAAGAAAGGAGAGCGUUGAGGAUCGUGUGAUGUUUAGAGAACACAAACCAAACUGCAUGUGAAAUAUUGCCCACCUGCAGAAGCUCUCGAAGGGCACUAAACGAGGAAACCAUGCGAUACAAGAACGAUUGUUCCUGGGAUAGGACGAUGGGACCACACAAAGGCAACAUUCUCUAGGCAAUCCUGAAAUGGUUUUUGACAUAUUUCAAGGGGCAAACUGAACAGUUUAAAAAAGACCUGUUUAGUAACAGAAAAGAAAAAGACUGGUAGAGCUAUGCGUUGCUUUACUUAGAUUGGUCGCACAUGUGCCAACCAUAAAUACGAGCUUUUCCUACGUAUAAUGUCCUUCCUUUCUUCACUCCUUUCCUCUCUUCUUCCUCCUUUUCGUUUUUUAGUCCUGUCAAGAAUUUCCCAUGGCAAAUCUCUGCUCCUAAAAGCACGUGACAACCAAGUUCAUUGUGCUCUCUCUUUCCUAGAAAUCCUAUGGAAACUAUCUAGAUGUUUAAUUAUACAUUGCCUUACAGUGAUUUCACAUUAUUUAUUACCAUAAAUAUUUUCUCUAAAGUAUGUGAUAAGCAGAAAACUAUUUGCAUGUGCCAUUAAAGAAUAGAAAAAAAAUCAAUGCCCACAUUACUCAGCUUAAAUAUAAUCAUUACCACUAAUUUUGAAGCCCUUGUGUGAAAUAUCUCCAUCUUUUUUCCAGUUUUCUAUUGGAUUGUCAUCUUCUUAUUGAUU
rnacentral:lncRNA from 1 species